rnacentral:rRNA from 1 species
UGCAGAAUCCCGUGAACCAUCGAGUCUUUGAACGCAAGUUGCGCCCGAGGGACCCUCCCGAGGGCACGCCUGCCUCAUGGGCGUUAGAAGCCCAUCCACGCUCGGUUGCCUAGCUAACGGCAAAGAUGCGGACAUUGGCCCUCCGAACCGCGAGGCGCGGUGGGCCUAAGUGUGCGGCCGUCGUACGUGGCCGGGAGCGGCGAGUGGUGGGCUACUGCGCACGUCACCCCGAGCCCCGUACCGACGCAGGGCCUUUUACGGCCCCCUAACGAGGAGCACGCCUCUGCGGCUUCGGCUGCGCGGCGCCUUCGGACCGAUACCCCAGGUCAGGCGGGGCUACCCGCCGAGUUUAAGCAUAUAAAUAAGCGGAGGAGAAGAAACUUACAAGGAUUCCCCUAGUAACGGCGAGCGAACCGGGAGACGCCCAGCCUUAGAAUCGCGGCGGCACUGCCGUCCGA